CAGUAGCCGCGGUAAUACGUAGGUGGCAAGCGUUGUCCGGAAUUAUUGGGCGUAAAGGGCUCGCAGGCGGUUUCUUAAGUCUGAUGUGAAAGCCCCCGGCUCAACCGGGGAGGGUCAUUGGAAACUGGGAAACUUGAGUGCAGAAGAGGAGAGUGGAAUUCCACGUGUAACGGUGAAAUGCGUAGAGAUGUGGAGGAACACCAGUGGCGAAGGCGACUCUCUGGUCUGUAACUGACGCUGAGGAGCGAAAGCGUGGGGAGCGAACAGGAUUAGAUACCGCGUAGUCCCUGUCUCUUAUACA
rnacentral:rRNA from 1 species